rnacentral:tRNA from 1 species
GCGGGUAUAGUUUAGGGUAAAACCCUAGCCUUCCAAGCUA